rnacentral:rRNA from 1 species
GAUGAACGCUGGCGGCGUGCCUAAUACAUGCAAGUCGAGCGAACGGACGAGAAGCUUGCGUCUCGGAUGUUAGCGGCGGACGGGUGAGUAACACGUGUAUAACCUACCUAUAAGACUGGGAUAACUUCGGGAAACCGGAGCUAAUACCGGAUAAUAUUUUGAACCGCAUGGUGCAAAAGUGAAAUACGGUCUUGCUGGCACUUCUAGAUGGAUCCGCGCUGCAUUCGCUAGUUGGUACGGUAACGGCUUACCAAGGCAACGAUGCAUAGCCGACCUGCGAGGGUGGUAGGCCACACUGGAACUGGGACACGGUCCAGGCGACUGAGGGAGGGCGCAGUAGGCAACCUUCCGCAGCGGGCGAAAGCAUGACGGAGCGACGCCGCGUGUGUGAUGAAGGUCUUCGGAUCGUAAAACUCUGUUAUUAGUGAAGAACAGAUGUGUAAGUAACUGUGCACAUCUUGACGGUACCUAAUCAGAAAGCAACGGCUAACUACGUG